GAUGAACGCUGGCGGCGUGCCUAAUACAUGCAAGUCGAGCGAACAGAUGAGGAGCUUGCUCCUCUGACGUUAGCGGCGGACGGGUGAGUAACACGUGGAUAACCUACCUAUAAGACUGGGAUAACUUCGGGAAACCGGAGCUAAUACCGGAUAAUAUAUUAAACCGCAUGGUUCAAUAGUGAAAGACGGUUCUGCUGUCACUUAUAGAUGGAUCCGCGCCGCAUUAGCUAGUUGGUAAGGUAACGGCUUACCAAGGCAACGAUGCGUAGCCGACCUGAGAGGGUGAUCGGCCACACUGGAACUGAGACACGGUCCAGACUCCUACGGGAGGCAGCAGUAGGGAAUCUUCCGCAAUGGGCGAAAGCCUGACGGAGCAACGCCGCGUGAGUGAUGAAGGUCUUCGGAUCGUAAAACUCUGUUAUUAGGGAAGAACAAAUGUGUAAGUAACUAUGCACGUCUUGACGGUACCUAAUCAGAAAGCCACGGCUAACUACGUG
rnacentral:rRNA from 1 species